CCAGCUCCAAUAGCGUAUAUUAAUGUUGUUGCAGUUAAAAAGCUCGUAGUUGGAUUUCUGGCAAGGGCGACCGGGCGGCUCCGCAAGGGGUCGUUUCUCUGGUCUGCUUUCGCCAUCCUCGGUUUCAGGCCAGUUCUGGGCUUCACUGUUCGGGGCUGGACCGACCGUCGUUUACUGUGAACAAAUUAGAGUGUUCAAAGCAAGGAUGUACUUGAAUACAUUAGCAUGGAAUAAUAAGAUAGGACUUUGGUGGUUCUCUUUUGAUAUUUUGUUGGUUUGCACGCCAAAGUAAUGAUUAAUAGGAGCAGUUGGGGGUAUUCGUAUUCAAUUGUCAGAGGUGAAAUUCUUGGAUUUAUAGAAGACGAACUACUGCGAAGGCAUUUACCAAGGAUGUUUUCA
rnacentral:rRNA from 1 species